AUUGAACGCUGGCGGCAUGCUUUACACAUGCAAGUCGAACGGCAGCGCGGGCUUCGGCCUGGCGGCGAGUGGCGAACGGGUGAGUAACACAUCGGAACGUGCCCAGUAGUGGGGGAUAGCUCGGCGAAAGCCGGAUUAAUACCGCAUACGACCUGAGGGUGAAAGCGGGGGAUCUUCGGACCUCGCGCUAUUGGAGCGGCCGAUGGCAGAUUAGCUAGUUGGUGGGGUAAAGGCCUACCAAGGCGACGAUCUGUAGCUGGUCUGAGAGGACGACCAGCCACACUGGGACUGAGACACGGCCCAGACUCCUACGGGAGGCAGCAGUGGGGAAUUUUGGACAAUGGGCGAAAGCCUGAUCCAGCAAUGCCGCGUGUGUGAUGAAGGCCUUCGGGUUGUAAAGCACUUUUGGCGGGAACGAAAAGGACUGUGCCAAUACCACGGUUCGAUGACGGUACCCGCAGAAUAAGCACCGGCUAACUACGUG
rnacentral:rRNA from 1 species